rnacentral:rRNA from 1 species
UACGGAGGGUGCAAGCGUUGUCCGGAAUCACUGGGCGUAAAGGGCGCGUAGGCGGCUCGGUAAGUAGGGGGUGAAAUCCUGCGGCUCAACCGCAGGGCUGCCUUCUAAACUGUCGAGCUCGAGCACGGUAGAGGCAGAUGGAAUUCCCGGUGUAACGGUGGAAUGCGUAGAGAUCGGGAAGAACAUCAGUGGCGAAGGCGGUCUGCUGGGCCGUUGCUGACGCUGAGGCACGACAGCGUGGGGAGCAAACAGG